UACGUAGGGGGCAAGCGUUGUCCGGAAUUAUUGGGCGUAAAGAGCGCGUAGGCGGUCCGAUAAGUCGGCUGUGAAAGUCCAGGGCUCAACCCUGGAAAGCCGGCCGAUACUGUCGGACUAGAGUCCGGAAGAGGCAAGUGGAAUUCCCGGUGUAGCGGUGAAAUGCGUAGAUAUCGAGAGGAACACCAGAGGCGAAGGCGAAUCACUGGACAGAAUCUGACGCUGAGGCACGAAAGCUAGGGGAGCAAACGGG
rnacentral:rRNA from 1 species